AUGCAAGAGUUUCACUUCUUGUAUGGCCAAAAGUAUUGGUGGGGUAGCUCACCGGACAAAAGGUCCCUACAUUGAAUCUCAUGGAAGAAAUUGGCUACACCUAAACAUGUUGGCAUCAUGGGUUUUCGAGAUUUUGAACUUUUCAAUCUUUCAAUGCUUGGAAAACAUGGCUGGCGCCUUCUAAUAAACCCAGACAUUUUUUGUGCUAGGGUGUUGAAAGGGAAAUAUUACCCACAUUCAGGUUUCCUGCAAGCCACUGCCUCCACUAGUUCUUCGACGACAUGGAAGGCUAUCAUAGCAGGACGCGUUGCACUGGACGUUGGGCUCAUUGAGCGUGUGGGGGAUGGUUCAUCAAUAUCUAUUUGGACUGACAAAUGGAUCCCAAACACUGCUACUUUUAUGCCAAUGGGCAGAUUGGGUAAUGACCCAUUGGAGAAGGUUUCAGACCUCAUUGACCCAUACAACGGUGGCUGGAACAUUGAUCUAGUUCGGAAUAAUUUCCUCUCUGCCGACAUUGAUGCUAUAUUGAAUAUACCCUUGAGGUCAACAGGGGGGGCACUCUUGCUUGGGCCUUGGAAACAUCGGGAAACUACUCUGUAA
rnacentral:rRNA from 1 species